UCGAUGGGUUCGGGUGACGAUAUGUUCCGAACCUGGUCAGGUCCGGAAGGAAGCAGCCAUAAGGAGCCUCUGCCGGGCACCCGUUCCCAUCGAGCGC
rnacentral:SRP_RNA from 1 species